UGGCUGAGGUUACUUUGAGACAUCACAAUAUUUUUCCUCGUUUAUUGCUUUAUUUACGGAAUAUCACCCUCUCUUCAGAAUGCAAAAUAAUUUGGAGUCAAUAUGUUAUUCUGAAAAGAGUCUUGGAGUAGGAAGUCCAUGGGCAUUAGGAGGAAGAUCUGAGAGGUGAAGAUAGAAAUGAUGCUGAAACAGAGAGAAAAUAAAACCACUGAAUUUAAAGCAAAAAGAAACAAAGAGGAACAAUAACAAAGUUUGCAGCUCAGUGAGAACACCGAAAUUGAUGGAAGCUUCUUUUGAUUAUAGCGUACAUUUAUGACAUCCACCAUCAGCAAACAUAUUUCAGAUGAAUUGUUCCAAGAUGGCCGAACAGGAAUAGCUCCGGUCUGCAGCUCCCAGCGUGAUCGAUGAAGAAGACGGGUGAUUUCUGCAUUUCCAACUGAGGUACCAGGUUCAUCUCAUUGGGACUUGUUGGACAGUGG
rnacentral:lncRNA from 1 species